GAAAGGGCAAAAUCAUUGAAAAAUGAUGACGCAAAGCUAUAGGGGCUUCGGGCUAGACUAAAAAGGACAAAACCUUUUCCCAAUCAUUCAACUACUCAUGCCAGCCAGCUACCGA
rnacentral:ncRNA from 1 species